rnacentral:snoRNA from 1 species
UAGGCUUCAUUAUAAGAAGGCUGAGCAUUGCUUUGGGUCUUCUGUGAAAUACUUUUGUUGCCCUUGGCUUCUGAGCUUG